GAUGAACGCUGACAGAAUGCUUAACACAUGCAAGUCGAUUCAAUUUACCUUCGGGUAUUGAGGAUGGCGGACGGGUGAGUAACGCGUAAGGAACUUGCCUCUUGGUCUGGGACAACUGUUGGAAACGACAGCUAAUACCGGAUAUUAUGAGAUUCUCGCAUGGGAAACUUAUGAAAGCUAUAUGCGCCGAGAGAGAGCCUUGCGUUCCAUUAGCUAGUUGGUGGGGUAACGGCCCACCAAGGCGACGAUGGAUAGCCGGCCUGAGAGGGUGAACGGCCACAAGGGGACUGAGACACGGCCCUUACUCCUACGGGAGGCAGCAGUGGGGAAUAUUGGACAAUGGGCCACAAGCCUGAUCCAGCAAUUCUGUGUGCACGAUGAAGGUCUUCGGAUUGUAAAGUGCUUUCAGUUGGGAAGAAGAAAGUGACGGUACCAACAGAAGAAGCGACGGCUAAAUACGUGCCAGCAGCCGCGGUAAUACGUAUGUCGCAAGCGUUAUCCGGAUUUAUUGGGCGUAAAGCGCGUCUAGGCGGAAAAAUAAGUCUGAUGUUAAAAUGCGGGGCUCAACUCCGUAUUGCGUUGGAAACUGUUUUUCUAGAGUACUGGAGAAGUGGGCGGAACUACAAGUGUAGAGGUGAAAUUCNUA
rnacentral:rRNA from 1 species